rnacentral:lncRNA from 1 species
GACGAUCAAUUGUUUUUGCUUCUGUUCUUAACGCGUUAUUAAUUGCUAGGGGAGGCUAGGGAUAACAAGCCAGUAAUUAGUAAUAGGCUCUUUUUGCCGAGGGAUUGGGUUAAGGGUAGGCCAAGAAAGUUUGCAUGACAAUUAGAUAACAAAGCAAAUUAAACAAGAGGAGUAGAUAAGAGAGAGUGGAUAAGAUGAAAUUGCAAACCCCCAACAACUCCAUUCAUCCAUAGUUUUUUUCUUGUCAAAUUAAUCAAACGCAUUGCAUGUUUAUUUUGUGCUCUU